UACGAAGGGGGCGAGCGUUGUUCGGAUUUACUGGGCGUAAAGGGCGCGCAGGCGGCUAUCCAAGUCAGGCGUGAAAGCCCCGGGCUUAACCUGGGAGGUGCGUCUGGGACUGGGUGGCUAGAGUUCGGGAGAGGAGAGUGGAAUUCCCAGUGUAGAGGUGAAAUUCGUAGAUAUUGGGAAGAACACCGGUGGCGAAGGCGGCGACCUGGGUAGAUACUGACGCUGAGGCGCGAAAGCGUGGGGAGCAAACAGG
rnacentral:rRNA from 1 species